rnacentral:piRNA from 1 species
UUGGCUUAGGUGCUUCUGCAGUAGAUGUGG